UAUCAAGAGAGGCUGAGAAAACAGGUUCUAUGAUGCCCAGCAACCUAACUAAUACCACUUAGUAUUAGGAAAGGUGCUAACUCCUGCGGAUAUAUCCGAAAGAUA
rnacentral:ncRNA from 1 species